UNGGUUAACCAGCAGCGAGAGCACAUA
rnacentral:piRNA from 1 species